GAUGAAGAACGCAGCGAAAUGCGAUAAGUAGUGUGAAUUGCAGAAUUCAGUGAAUCAUCGAAUCUUUGAACGCACAUUGCGCCCCUUGGUAUUCCAUGGGGCAUGCCUGUUCGAGCGUCAUUUCAACCAUCAAGCCCUGCUUGUGUUGGGGUCCUGCGGCUGCCCGCAGGCCCUGAAAACCAGUGGCGGGCUCGCUAGUCACACCGAGCGCAGUAGCACAUCUCGCUCAGGGCGUGCGGCGGGUUCUUGCCGUAAAACACCCCCUUUUUACCAAGGUUGACCUCGGAUCAGGUAGGAAUACCCGCUGAACUUAAGCAUAUCAAUAAGCGGAGGA
rnacentral:misc_RNA from 1 species